UACGUAGGGUGCGAGCGUUGUCCGGAAUUACUGGGCGUAAAGAGCUCGUAGGUGGUUUGUCGCGUUGUUCGUGAAAACUCACAGCUUAACUGUGGGCGUGCGGGCGAUACGGGCAGACUGGAGUACUGCAGGGGAGACUGGAAUUCCUGGUGUAGCGGUGGAAUGCGCAGAUAUCAGGAGGAACGCCGGUGGCGAAGGCGGGUCUCUGGGCAGUAACUGACGCUGAGGAGCGAAAGCGUGGGGAGCGAACCGG
rnacentral:rRNA from 1 species